UGGGGAAUAUUGCACAAUGGGCGCAAGCCUGAUGCAGCCAUGCCGCGUGUAUGAAGAAGGCCUUCGGGUUGUAAAGUACUUUCAGCGGGGAGGAAGGUGUUGUGGUUAAUAACCUCAGCAAUUGACGUUACCCGCAGAAGAAGCACCGGCUAACUCCGUGCCAGCAGCCGCGGUAAUACGGAGGGUGCAAGCGUUAAUCGGAAUUACUGGGCGUAAAGCGCACGCAGGCGGUCUGUCAAGUCGGAUGUGAAAUCCCCGGGCUCAACCUGGGAACUGCAUCCGAAACUGGCAGGCUUGAGUCUUGUAGAGGGGGGUAGAAUUCCAGGUGUAGCGGUGAAGUGCGUAGAGAUCUGGAGGAAUACCGGUGGCGAAGGCGGCCCCCUGGACAAAGACUGACGCUCAGGUGCGAAAGCGUGGGGAGCAAACA
rnacentral:rRNA from 1 species